rnacentral:rRNA from 1 species
GACGAACGCUGGCGGCGUGCUUAACACAUGCAAGUCGAACGGAAAGGCCCUGCUUUUGUGGGGUGCUCGAGUGGCGAACGGGUGAGUAACACGUGAGUAACCUGCCCUAGACUUUGGGAUAACUUCAGGAAACUGGGGCUAAUACCGGAUAGGAGCUCCUGCUGCAUGGUGGGGGUUGGAAAGUUUCGGCGGUUGGGGAUGGACUCGCGGCUUAUCAGCUUGUUGGUGGGGUAGUGGCUUACCAAGGCUUUGACGGGUAGCCGGCCUGAGAGGGUGACCGGCCACAUGGGGACUGAGAUACGGCCCAGACUCCUACGGGAGGCAGCAGUGGGGAAUAUUGAACAAUGGGCGGAAGCCUGAUGCAGCAACGCCGCGUGCGGGAUGACGGCCUUCGGGUUGUAAACCGCUUUCGCCUGUGACGAAGCGUGAGUGACGGUAAUGGGUAAAGAAGCACCGGCUAACUACGUG